rnacentral:lncRNA from 1 species
GCUCACAGGUGUGUCUAAACAAUUUCAGAACUAUGAAAAGGGAUGUCGUAAUCAUAGUCUCAAUUGUUUAGACCUUUGCUAUCGGCUUCAAAUCUACUUGGUGGAAGUGUUUCCUCACCAUCAUUUUCAUGAAUCGGAGAGAAACCUUAUGACCCUUAGGUUUUAUGGUAUAUGUGUUCCUUUCCAUGUGAAUUUUUGUAAAAACCAUAAUCACAAGACAAGAUUAGUGACAAUUCCAAAUUCAUAUGGACUGAACUUGUGCAAUCUUAAAUUCUUGCCACCUGGCAGCUCAAGGGCCUGCCAUUGCUUCCAAGUUGAUAUGCAACCAAUUGAGAACUCUAAGAACUCAUAUGCAAAGCCAACUUUAACUGGAAUGGCCCUUUCCAUGUGAAUUUUUGUAAAAACCAUAAUCACAAGACAAGAUUAGUGACAAUUCCAAAUUCAUAUGGACUGAACUUGUGCAAUCUUAAAUUCUUGCCACCUGGCAGCUCAAGGGCCUGCCAUUGCUUCCAAGUUGAUAUGCAACCAAUUGAGAACUCUAAGAACUCAUAUGCAAAGCCAACUUUAACUGGAAUGGCCACAGAAAUAGAAAUAUGUCAACACAAUAGGUUAUAAACCUCACGUUGUGUGCUAGUGUUAAACUAUAUGUUUUUUUAUUCUU